AGCGUACACGGUGGAUGCCCUGGCAGUCAGAGGCGAUGAAGGACGUGCUAAUCUGCGAUAAGCGUCGGUGAGGUGAUAUGAACCGUUAUAACCGGCGAUUUCCGAAUGGGGAAACCCAGUGUGUUUCGACACACUAUCAUUAACUGAAUCCAUAGGUUAAUGAGGCGAACCGGGGGAACUGAAACAUCUAAGUACCCCGAGGAAAAGAAAUCAACCGAGAUUCCCCCAGUAGCGGCGAGCGAACGGGGAGGAGCCCAGAGCCUGAAUCAGUGUGUGUGUUAGUGGAAGCGUCUGGAAAGGCGCGCGAUACAGGGUGACAGCCCCGUACACAAAAAUGCACAUAUUGUGAGCUCGAUGAGUAGGGCGGGACACGUGGUAUCCUGUCUGAAUAUGGGGGGACCAUCCUCCAAGGCUAAAUACUCCUGACUGACCGAUAGUGAACCAGUACCGUGAGGGAAAGGCGAAAAGAACCCCGGCGAGGGGAGUGAAAAAGAACCUGAAACCGUGUACGUACAAGCAGUGGGAGCCUCUUAAUGGGGUGACUGCGUACCUUUUGUAUAAUGGGUCAGCGACUUAUAUUCUGUAGCAAGGUUAACCGAAUAGGGGAGCCGAAGGGAAACCGAGUCUUAACUGGGCGUUAAGUUGCAGGGUAUAGACCCGAAACCCGGUGAUCUAGCCAUGGGCAGGUUGAAGGUUGGGUAACACUAACUGGAGGACCGAACCGACUAAUGUUGAAAAAUUAGCGGAUGACUUGUGGCUGGGGGUGAAAGGCCAAUCAAACCGGGAGAUAGCUGGUUCUCCCCGAAAGCUAUUUAGGUAGCGCCUCGUGAAUUCAUCUCCGGGGGUAGAGCACUGUUUCGGCAAGGGGGUCAUCCCGACUUACCAACCCGAUGCAAACUGCGAAUACCGGAGAAUGUUAUCACGGGAGACACACGGCGGGUGCUAACGUCCGUCGUGAAGAGGGAAACAACCCAGACCGCCAGCUAAGGUCCCAAAGUCAUGGUUAAGUGGGAAACGAUGUGGGAAGGCCCAGACAGCCAGGAUGUUGGCUUAGAAGCAGCCAUCAUUUAAAGAAAGCGUAAUAGCUCACUGGUCGAGUCGGCCUGCGCGGAAGAUGUAACGGGGCUAAACCAUGCACCGAAGCUGCGGCAGCGACGCUUAUGCGUUGUUGGGUAGGGGAGCGUUCUGUAAGCCUGUGAAGGUGGCCUGUGAGGGUUGCUGGAGGUAUCAGAAGUGCGAAUGCUGACAUAAGUAACGAUAAAGCGGGUGAAAAGCCCGCUCGCCGGAAGACCAAGGGUUCCUGUCCAACGUUAAUCGGGGCAGGGUGAGUCGACCCCUAAGGCGAGGCCGAAAGGCGUAGUCGAUGGGAAACAGGUUAAUAUUCCUGUACUUGGUGUUACUGCGAAGGGGGGACGGAGAAGGCUAUGUUGGCCGGGCGACGGUUGUCCCGGUUUAAGCGUGUAGGCUGGUUUUCCAGGCAAAUCCGGAAAACCAAGGCUGAGGCGUGAUGACGAGGCACUACGGUGCUGAAGCGACAAAUGCCCUGCUUCCAGGAAAAGCCUCUAAGCAUCAGGUAACAUCAAAUCGUACCCCAAACCGACACAGGUGGUCAGGUAGAGAAUACCAAGGCGCUUGAGAGAACUCGGGUGAAGGAACUAGGCAAAAUGGUGCCGUAACUUCGGGAGAAGGCACGCUGAUAUGUAGGUGAAGCGACUUGCUCGUGGAGCUGAAAUCAGUCGAAGAUACCAGCUGGCUGCAACUGUUUAUUAAAAACACAGCACUGUGCAAACACGAAAGUGGACGUAUACGGUGUGACGCCUGCCCGGUGCCGGAAGGUUAAUUGAUGGGGUUAGCGGUAACGCGAAGCUCUUGAUCGAAGCCCCGGUAAACGGCGGCCGUAACUAUAACGGUCCUAAGGUAGCGAAAUUCCUUGUCGGGUAAGUUCCGACCUGCACGAAUGGCGUAAUGAUGGCCAGGCUGUCUCCACCCGAGACUCAGUGAAAUUGAACUCGCUGUGAAGAUGCAGUGUACCCGCGGCAAGACGGAAAGACCCCGUGAACCUUUACUAUAGCUUGACACUGAACAUUGAGCCUUGAUGUGUAGGAUAGGUGGGAGGCUUUGAAGUGUGGACGCCAGUCUGCAUGGAGCCGACCUUGAAAUACCACCCUUUAAUGUUUGAUGUUCUAACGUUGGCCCGUAAUCCGGGUUGCGGACAGUGUCUGGUGGGUAGUUUGACUGGGGCGGUCUCCUCCUAAAGAGUAACGGAGGAGCACGAAGGUUGGCUAAUCCUGGUCGGACAUCAGGAGGUUAGUGCAAUGGCAUAAGCCAGCUUGACUGCGAGCGUGACGGCGCGAGCAGGUGCGAAAGCAGGUCAUAGUGAUCCGGUGGUUCUGAAUGGAAGGGCCAUCGCUCAACGGAUAAAAGGUACUCCGGGGAUAACAGGCUGAUACCGCCCAAGAGUUCAUAUCGACGGCGGUGUUUGGCACCUCGAUGUCGGCUCAUCACAUCCUGGGGCUGAAGUAGGUCCCAAGGGUAUGGCUGUUCGCCAUUUAAAGUGGUACGCGAGCUGGGUUUAGAACGUCGUGAGACAGUUCGGUCCCUAUCUGCCGUGGGCGCUGGAGAACUGAGGGGGGCUGCUCCUAGUACGAGAGGACCGGAGUGGACGCAUCACUGGUGUUCGGGUUGUCAUGCCAAUGGCACUGCCCGGUAGCUAAAUGCGGAAGAGAUAAGUGCUGAAAGCAUCUAAGCACGAAACUUGCCCCGAGAUGAGUUCUCCCUGACUCCUUGA
rnacentral:rRNA from 1 species